rnacentral:rRNA from 1 species
GGGUUGUGAGGUUAAGCGACUAAGCGUACACGGUGGAUGCCCUGGCAGUCAGAGGCGAUGAAGGACGUGCUAAUCUGCGAUAAGCGCCGGUAAGGUGAUAUGAACCGUUAUAACCGGCGAUUUCCGAAUGGGGAAACCCAGUGUGACUCGUCACACUAUCAUUAACUGAAUCCAUAGGUUAAUGAGGCGAACCGGGGGAACUGAAACAUCUAAGUACCCCGAGGAAAAGAAAUCAACCGAGAUUCCCCCAGUAGCGGCGAGCGAACGGGGAGGAGCCCAGAGCCUGAAUCAGCAUGUGUGUUAGUGGAAGCGUCUGGAAAGGCGCGCGAUACAGGGUGACAGCCCCGUACACAAAAGCGCAUGUGUUGUGAGCUCGAUGAGUAGGGCGGGACACGUGGUAUCCUGUCUGAAUAUGGGGGGACCAUCCUCCAAGGCUAAAUACUCCUGACUGACCGAUAGUGAACCAGUACCGUGAGGGAAAGGCGAAAAGAACCCCGGCGAGGGGAGUGAAAAAGAACCUGAAACCGUGUACGUACAAGCAGUGGGAGCACCCUUUUGGGUGUGACUGCGUACCUUUUGUAUAAUGGGUCAGCGACUUAUAUUCUGUAGCAAGGUUAACCGAAUAGGGGAGCCGGAGGGAAACCGAGUCUUAACCGGGCGUUAAGUUGCAGGGUAUAGACCCGAAACCCGGUGAUCUAGCCAUGGGCAGGUUGAAGGUUGGGUAACACUAACUGGAGGACCGAACCGACUAAUGUUGAAAAAUUAGCGGAUGACCUGUGGCUGGGGGUGAAAGGCCAAUCAAACCGGGAGAUAGCUGGUUCUCCCCGAAAGCUAUUUAGGUAGCGCCUCGUGAAUUCAUCUCCGGGGGUAGAGCACUGUUUCGGCUAGGGGGCCAUCCCGGCUUACCAACCCGAUGCAAACUGCGAAUACCGGAGAAUGUUAUCACGGGAGACACACGGCGGGUGCUAACGUCCGUCGUGAAGAGGGAAACAACCCAGACCGCCAGCUAAGGUCCCAAAGUCAUGGUUAAGUGGGAAACGAUGUGGGAAGGCCCAGACAGCCAGGAUGUUGGCUUAGAAGCAGCCAUCAUUUAAAGAAAGCGUAAUAGCUCACUGGUCGAGUCGGCCUGCGCGGAAGAUGUAACGGGGCUAAACCAUGCACCGAAGCUGCGGCAGCGACACUGUGUGUUGUUGGGUAGGGGAGCGUUCUGUAAGCCUGUGAAGGUGUGUCGUGAGGCAUGCUGGAGGUAUCAGAAGUGCGAAUGCUGACAUAAGUAACGAUAAAGCGGGUGAAAAGCCCGCUCGCCGGAAGACCAAGGGUUCCUGUCCAACGUUAAUCGGGGCAGGGUGAGUCGACCCCUAAGGCGAGGCCGAAAGGCGUAGUCGAUGGGAAACGGGUUAAUAUUCCCGUACUUGGUGUUACUGCGAAGGGGGGACGGAGAAGGCUAUGUUGGCCGGGCGACGGUUGUCCCGGUUUAAGCGUGUAGGUGUGUGUUCCAGGUAAAUCCGGUUCACUUUAACACUGAGGCGUGAUGACGAGGCACUACGGUGCUGAAGCAACAAAUGCCCUGCUUCCAGGAAAAGCCUCUAAGCAUCAGGUAACAUCAAAUCGUACCCCAAACCGACACAGGUGGUCAGGUAGAGAAUACCAAGGCGCUUGAGAGAACUCGGGUGAAGGAACUAGGCAAAAUGGUGCCGUAACUUCGGGAGAAGGCACGCUGACACGUAGGUGAAGUGAUUUACUCAUGGAGCUGAAGUCAGUCGAAGAUACCAGCUGGCUGCAACUGUUUAUUAAAAACACAGCACUGUGCAAACACGAAAGUGGACGUAUACGGUGUGACGCCUGCCCGGUGCCGGAAGGUUAAUUGAUGGGGUCAGCGCAAGCGAAGCUCCUGAUCGAAGCCCCGGUAAACGGCGGCCGUAACUAUAACGGUCCUAAGGUAGCGAAAUUCCUUGUCGGGUAAGUUCCGACCUGCACGAAUGGCGUAAUGAUGGCCAGGCUGUCUCCACCCGAGACUCAGUGAAAUUGAACUCGCUGUGAAGAUGCAGUGUACCCGCGGCAAGACGGAAAGACCCCGUGAACCUUUACUAUAGCUUGACACUGAACAUUGAGCCUUGAUGUGUAGGAUAGGUGGGAGGCUUUGAAGUGUGGACGCCAGUCUGCAUGGAGCCGACCUUGAAAUACCACCCUUUAAUGUUUGAUGUUCUAACGUGGACCCGUGAUCCGGGUUGCGGACAGUGUCUGGUGGGUAGUUUGACUGGGGCGGUCUCCUCCUAAAGAGUAACGGAGGAGCACGAAGGUUGGCUAAUCCUGGUCGGACAUCAGGAGGUUAGUGCAAUGGCAUAAGCCAGCUUGACUGCGAGCGUGACGGCGCGAGCAGGUGCGAAAGCAGGUCAUAGUGAUCCGGUGGUUCUGAAUGGAAGGGCCAUCGCUCAACGGAUAAAAGGUACUCCGGGGAUAACAGGCUGAUACCGCCCAAGAGUUCAUAUCGACGGCGGUGUUUGGCACCUCGAUGUCGGCUCAUCACAUCCUGGGGCUGAAGUAGGUCCCAAGGGUAUGGCUGUUCGCCAUUUAAAGUGGUACGCGAGCUGGGUUUAGAACGUCGUGAGACAGUUCGGUCCCUAUCUGCCGUGGGCGCUGGAGAACUGAGGGGGGCUGCUCCUAGUACGAGAGGACCGGAGUGGACGCAUCACUGGUGUUCGGGUUGUCAUGCCAAUGGCACUGCCCGGUAGCUAAAUGCGGAAGAGAUAAGUGCUGAAAGCAUCUAAGCACGAAACUUGCCCCGAGAUGAGUUCUCCCUGAGACUUAGAGUCUCCUGAAGGAACGUUGAAGACGACGACGUUGAUAGGCCGGGUGUGUAAGCGCAGCGAUGCGUUGAGCUAACCGGUACUAAUGAACCGUGAGGCUUAACCUUACAACGCCGAAG